AUGGCGGCGGCAGGCAAGGUCCCGACGCUGGCCGAGGAAUAUUCACUCCCACCCAAGGAAGUCUCUGUCGAAAAAUCUGCUACGAGCACUGUGGCCGAAGUUGUUCCUCAGAAGGAUACUGAAACCUCACCAGCUGAUGAGACCGCUGUUGCUGUUGAGGAAAAAAGUGAAACUCCUGAGGUGAAAGAGCCAGAGGCGGAAGAAACCGUUCCUGCUGCAGAGGAAAGCGAUGAGGCUCCUGAGGAAACUGAAGAGAAACCAGAAAUUGUGAUUGAGACAGCUCCAGCAGAUUUUCGUUUCCCCACAACAAAUCAAACAAGACAUUGCUUCACGCGCUAUGUUGAAUACCAUAGGUGCGUAGCUGCAAAAGGAGAUGAUGCUCCUGAGUGUGAAAAGUUUGCAAAGUACUACCGAUCACUAUGCCCAAGUGAAUGGGUUGAGCGUUGGAACGAGCAACGGGAGAAUGGCACAUUCCCUGGACCCCUGUAA
rnacentral:rRNA from 1 species